rnacentral:sRNA from 1 species
GCCUUGAGAAGCAAGAAGAAGCUUGGUUAGUGUUUUGGAGUCAAAUAUUACUAGAUGUCAUGUGUAUGAGUGAGUAUGACAACUAGAACCAUAACCGGAUCUUAAAAACCUAAGUAUUGAAUCUUUGUUAGAAGAUACAAAGACAAAGACUCAUACGGACUUCGACUACACUAUCAAAGCUUUGAGAAGCAAGAAGAAGCUUGGUUAGUGUUUUGGAGUCGAAUAUGACUUGAUGGCAUGUGUAUGAGUGAGUAUAAAAACUAGAACCGCAACGGAUCUUAAAAGCCUAAAUAUUGUAUCCUUGUUAGAAGAUACAUAGAAAAAGUCUCAUACGGAAUUCGCCUAAACCAUCAAAGCUUUUAGAAGCAAGAAGAAGGUUGGUUAGUGUUUUGGAGUGAAAUAUGACUAGAUGUCAUGUGUAUGAGUGAGUAUAUCAAGUAGAACCACAAUUGGAAUUUUAAAAGCCUAAGUAUUGUAUCCUUGUUAGAAGAUACAAAGACAAACACUCAUACGGACUUUGGCUACACCAUCAAAGCUUUGAGAAGCAAGAAGAAGCUUGGUUAGUGUUUUGGAGUCU